CGGACGGGUGAGUAACGCGUGGGUAACCUGCCUCAUACAGGGGGAUAACAGUUAGAAAUGGCUGCUAAUACCGCAUAAGACCACGGUACUGCAUGGUACAGUGGUAAAAACUCCGGUGGUAUGAGAUGGACCCGCGUCUGAUUAGGUAGUUGGUGAGGUAACGGCCCACCAAGCCGACGAUCAGUAGCCGACCUGAGAGGGUGACCGGCCACAUUGGGACUGAGACACGGCCCAG
rnacentral:rRNA from 1 species